AACUUUCAGCAACGGAUCUCUUGGCUCUCGCAUCGAUGAAGAACGCAGCGAAAUGCGAUAAGUAAUGUGAAUUGCAGAAUUCAGUGAAUCAUCGAAUCUUUGAACGCACCUUGCGCCCCUUGGCUAUUCCGAAGGGCAUGCCUGUUUGAGUAUCA
rnacentral:rRNA from 2 species